rnacentral:rRNA from 1 species
AGUGAACGCUGGCGGCAGGCCUAACACAUGCAAGUCGAACGGCAGCACAGGGGAGCUUGCUCCCUGGGUGGCGAGUGGCGGACGGGUGAGGCAUACAUCGGAAUCUACCCUUUCGUGGGGGGCAACGUAGGGAAACUUACGCUAUUACCGCACAGGAUCGGAGGAUGAAAGCAGGGGACCGCAAGGACUUGCGCGAUUGGAUGAGCCGAUGUCCGAUUAGCUAGUUUGCGGGGUAAAGGCCAACAAAGGCGACGAGCGGUAGGUGGUCUGAGAGGAUGAUCAGCCACACUGGAACUGAGACACGGUCCAUACUCCUACGGGAGGCAGCAGUGGGGAAUAUUGGACAAUGGGCGCAAGCCUGAUCCAGUCAUGCCGCGUGUGUGAAGAAGGCCUUCGGGUUGUAAAGCACUUUUGUUGGGAAAGAAAACCUGUCGGCUAAUACCCGGCUGGGAUGACGGUACCCAAAGAAUAAGCACCGGCUAACUUCGUGCCAGCAGCCGCAGUAACAC